rnacentral:rRNA from 1 species
UCCGAAGGGAGCUAUCGUUGUUCGGAAUCACUGGGCGUAAAGCGCACGUAGGCGGGCUUGUAAGUCAGGGGUGAAAUCCCGGGGCUCAACCUCGGAACUGCCUCUGAUACUGCAAGUCUCGAGUCCGGAAGAGGUGGGUGGAAUUCCUAGUGUAGAGGUGAAAUUCGUAGAUAUUAGGAAGAACACCGGUGGCGAAGGCGGCCCACUGGUCCGGUACUGACGCUGAGGUGCGAAAGCGUGGGGAGAAAACAGG